rnacentral:rRNA from 1 species
GACGAACGCUGGCGGCGUGCUUAACACAUGCAAGUCGAACGGAAAGGCCCUGCUUUUGUGGUGUGCUCGAGUGGCGAACGGGUGAGUAACACGUGAGUAACCUGCCCUGGACUUUGGGAUAACUUCAGGAAACUGUAGCUAAUACCGGAUAGGAGCUCCUGCUGCAUGUUGGGGGUUGCAAAGUUUCGUCGGUUGGGGAUGGACUCGCGGCUUAUCAGCUUGUUGGUGGGGUAGUGGCUUACCAAGGCUUUGACGGGUAGCCGGCCUGAGAGGGUGACCGGACACAUUGGGACUGAGAUACGGCCCAGAGUGAUACGGGAGGAAGCAGUGGGGAAUAUUGCACGAUGGGCGGAAGCAGGAUGCAGCAACGCCGCGUGAGGGAUGACGGUCUUCGGGUUGUAAACCGCUUUAGCCUGUGACGAAGCGUGAGUGACGGUAAUGGGUAAAGAAGCACCGGCUAACUACGUG